AAGGCUUAAUUCAUUAGUGUCUGACAUUUUCUCCAGAGUGUGGUCAGCGUCUUUCUCCAACUGCUCGUGUGUCUGACUCUUCGUAAGAAAUUCCUUUUCAUGUGUAGGUAAUACCAUGUUCUCCAUGCUUGAAAUGAUCUCAUUUUCAUGUAGUUCUCCUUGCUCCUUAGAUUUUAAGAUGACAUCAUCAAGAAAAGGUAAUACCAUGUUCUCCAUGCUUGAAAUGAUCUCAUUUUCAUGUAGUUCUCCUUGCUCCUUAGAUUUUAAGAUGACAUCAUCAAGAAUGUUUUCAACCUCUGCUUGCUUAC
rnacentral:lncRNA from 1 species